ACUAUUUUGGCAGAUAAGUGCAGUGGAUUUAGAAUCUAUUUAUAUAGAUUGAUUCUAUAAAUAGUA
rnacentral:tRNA from 1 species